AGAAAUUUUCCUUUAAAUACAGGUUUUCUGCAUCCCAUAGGCCUUAAUAGGAAGAUGUAUGGUUACCCUCUUGACACAAGGAUGAUUUAGAAUGUGAGUUCCAUGAGGAAGAGGGCAGGGAUCUUGAUUUUGUUCCCUGCUGUAUUCCCAAGGUGUAGAAUGAAGACUGACACAUAACCAUGCCUGCUUUCUCUUCACCUUCCACCAUGAUUGGUAGUUUCCUGAGGCCUCCCCAGCCAUGUCCCCUGUACAGCCUGUGGAACUGGGAGCAGCUGCAAAGGAACACCACAAUGAUAUUCCACUGGAAAAAGGGCCAAACCACCUGAUCAUAAGAACAUCUUAUCAAUAUCCUCCUGGGCAGCAAGCCAUACUGCCCAGCUCCCUCCCACCCAUACCUCAGCUGCAACCAGGAUCACCCCCAUUGCUGGACAUCACAUCCAACACUGGGCUUCAAUUCGUGGGCUAAACUCCCCUGUCCAGGCGGCCACCCAGCAACACAUUGAUACCAUCCUUCUCCUCUGCCAAGUCCAGUACCAGUGCCUCCAGGAAAACAACUCUGAAGUCCAACACCCACUGCUUCAAAACCCAAACCCUGAUUACAGCUCCCCUAUUCGGCAGGAAGC
rnacentral:lncRNA from 10 species